rnacentral:tRNA from 1 species
GGCUCUUUAGCUCAGUUGGUUAGAGCGUUCCCCUCAUAAGGGAGAGGUCGAUUGUUCGAGUCAAUCAAGAGCCA